rnacentral:rRNA from 1 species
GAUGAACGCUGGCGGCGUGCCUAAUACAUGCAAGUAGAACGCAACAGGAAGGAGCUUGCUCUUUCCGGGUGAGUUGCGAACGGGUGAGUAACGCGUAGGUAAACUGCCUGGUAGCGGGGGAUAACUGUUGGAAAAGAUAGCUAAUACCGCAUAACAGUAGAUGUUGCAUGAUAUCUACUUAAAAGGUGCAAUUGCACCACUACCAGAUGGACCUGCGUUGUAUUAGCUAGUUGGUGAGGUAACGGCUCACCAAGGCGACGAUACAUAGCCGACCUGAGAGGGUUAUCGGCCACACUGGGACUGAGACACGGCCCAGACUCCUACGGGACGCAGCAGUAGUGAACCUUCGGCAAUCGAUCUAAGGUUUGCUGAGCGACGCCGCUGGAGUGACGAAAGAUGUCGGAGCUGAUAGCACGGUUACAAACGAAGACAGAGCGUGAGAGUUAGGAGUUCUCAGUGUGACGGUACCAAAACAGAAAGGCACGGCUGACUACGUG